rnacentral:tRNA from 1 species
GAGUCACUAGCUCAGUAGGUAGAGCACUUGACUUUUAAUCAAGUGGCCCCGGGUUCGAGCCCCGGGUGGCUCA